GAUGAAGAACGUAGCGAAAUGCGAUAAGUAGUGUGAAUUGCAGAAUUCCGUGAAUCAUCGAAUCUUUGAACGCACAUUGCGCCUCCUGGUGAUCCGUGAGGCAUGCCUGUCCGAGCGUCAGUAAAAAGCAACUCGGCCGCGGCUGGCGGUUGGUGAUGGAGGAAGAGCACGUCUCGUUGUCGGUCUCCCCUCCCAAAAUCAACGGCGGAAUGUCACUGGCACUCGGUGUUGUAGUAUUAUUCGCCGAUCACCCAUUGUUGUUCCUGCCGCCCAAACCCCCACAAUUCUCUUGAUUGACCUCGGAUCAGGUAGGGAUACCCGCUGAACUUAAGCAUAUCAAUAAGCGGAGGA
rnacentral:misc_RNA from 1 species